CCCACGGCUCCCUAGUGCUGCUGUGUGUCUGGUUGAGAAGUGUGCUGAAAUUUCUGUGAUGCAUAUUUCAACUUCCACAAGGGCUCGUUCAUCUGUGAGUGAUUGUCUAAGACUGUUCUCCAGGGACACCUGGACUAUGGUUGAGAAGGUCUGGAGCCAGUUUAUGGGCCACUGCAGGGUGAACAGCCAAGGCACACUCAGAGAAAGGGCCAUGUGAGGAUGCAGUGAGAAGGCC